AUACUUACCUGGCAAGUGAGAAACUGUGCUCAAGAAGGCAGUUCAUCCAGGGUAAGGAUUAGCCAUUGCACUCCGGCUGUGCUGACCCCUGCGAAUUUCCCAAAUGUGGAAAUCUCGAUUGCAUAAUUUAUGGUAGUGGGGACUGCGUUCGUGCUCUCCCCU
ensembl:snRNA U1 U1 spliceosomal RNA